UAGCUUUAAGUGUUCUAAUAGCCUCUAAUGAGCAUUGUUAGUAUGUUGCUCCAUUUAAUUUGGAUUAUUUGGAGGUUAAUUCAUGUUAGGCUUAGAAAAUGGGGUUUUGUAAAAUAGUAGGGUUUGAUCUCAUUUGACCCUCCGUAAAUCUAAUUACUAAAAAAAUGAACGCGUUGGCGAAGUCGAUUCAGCGAUUCGUCGAGCCUACACGAAGUUAUUAAAGAAACGGACGUUUAGGUUUCGUUUCCGCCUGGAGGGCCGAGGCGACAUCGUAAAGUCAUGAAAAGGGAUUUGGAGUACCGUGGCACAUAACCGAAGACCUAUAAUUUUCGGAGCCACGAUGCGACACGCGGUUGGUGAGUAUUAGCAAAAUCGGGCCGAACCGGACACGGGUGUCGCGGGAGGCCGAUUGCAAGUGUCGACAAGCAAUCGGAAAGCGAUUUGAGGUGGGUUGUGUUUACCGAAGCGACUAGGUCGCCUAUAUGUCUAAGAUAAAUGUUCAUCAUUGAUGCAUGUAGUGGUAGCUAUUGAUAUAGCAUAAGUAUGCAUGAGAUGAAGGCUAAACGAGCUACCAAACAAUGCAUGAUGACUUAGUGUAAAUAGUGCUAGAUGAAUGCAUUGAUUAAUGCUAAAGUAUACAUGAUAAGCAUGCAUGCGGAUAAUGCUAAGUAAUGGUAUGAUAAGCAUGAUAUAGAAAUAAUAAAUGCAAGCAUGUGGUUAAUGCUAAGAAUAUAGAUGAUGACAUGAUAAAAAUGCUAAGUCCAUGUAUGAUAAGCAUGUUUUAGGGAUGCUAAAAUAAGAAUGCUAAGUAAAGGACAUAUCAUGUGAUGCUAGUGAUAUAUGUGCAUGAUGACAUAUUGCAUGUGAUAGAUGAACUAUGCAUGUUGACAUAUAGAGGAUUAUAUUAGUUGACAUUUACAUGUUAAACUUAGGGUCGAUAACUGUAGGUUGAUUAGAGAACUCGACAUUGGAAAACUAGUGUAAUGCUCGAUGUGGACAAUCUAUAUACAUUAGAUCGAGUGGCAUUAAACCUAGUGUCUUGAACAUAGGUUGAACAUGAAUGAUAUGAACCUAGUGUUAGUAAACCUAGGUCGGACAUGAAGGACAUAUGAACCUAGUGUGAAUAUACAUAGGUUGGACAUCAAGUGGCAUUGAACCUAAUGUUAAAGAACAUAGGUUGGAAUCAUGUGUGGCAUUUAAUCCAGCGUUAAAGAACAUAGGUUGGACAUGAACCUAGUGUUAAAGAA
rnacentral:lncRNA from 1 species